UACGUAGGGUGCGAGCGUUGUCCGGAUUUAUUGGGCGUAAAGGGCUCGUAGGCGGCGUGUCGCGUCGGGAGUGAAAGCCCGUUGCUUAACGGCGGGUUGGCUUUCGGUACGGGCAUGCUGGAGUGCGGCAGGGGAGACUGGAAUUCCUGGUGUAGCGGUGGAAUGCGCAGAUAUCAGGAGGAACACCAAUGGCGAAGGCAGCUCGCUGGGACGGUACUGACACUGAGACGCGAAAGCGUGGGGAGCAAACAGG
rnacentral:rRNA from 1 species